GAACUGCGAUAAGUAAUGUGAAUUGUAGAAUUCAGUGAAUCAUCGAGUCUUUGAACGCACAUUGCGCCCCCUGGCAUUCCGGGGGGCAUGCCUGUCCGAGCGUCAUUGCUGCCCUUCAAGCCCGGCUUGUGUGUUGGGUCGUCGUCCCCUCCGGGGGACGGGCCCGAAAGGCAGCGGCGGCACCGCGUCCGGUCCUCGAGCGUAUGGGGCUUUGUCACCCGCUCGAUAAGGACCGGCCGGGCGCCAGCCGGCGUCUCCAACCUUUUUUUCUCAGGUUGACCUCGGAUCAGGUAGGGAUACCCGCUGAACUUAAGC
rnacentral:misc_RNA from 1 species